AUAGUGGCGCACGGGUGCGUAACACGUAUGCAACCUACCUUAUACUUAGGGAUAGCCUUUGGAAACGGAGAUUAAUACUUAAUGGUAUAUUUAGCUGGCAUCGGUUAGAUAUUAAAGAUUUAUUGGUAUAAGAUGGGCAUGCGUCCAAUUAGUUAGUUGGUGAGGUAAUGGCUCACCAAGACGAUGAUUGGUAGGGGAACUGAGAGGUCAAUCCCCCACACUGGCACUGAGAUACGGGCCAGACUCCUACGGGAGGCAGCAGUAGGGAAUAUUGGGCAAUGGGCGAAAGCCUGACCCAGCCAUGCCGCGUGCAGGAAGACGGCGUUAUGCGUUGUAAACUGCUUUUUUAUAGGAAGAAGGAUCCCUUGCGAGGGAAGGUGACGGUACUAUAAGAAUAAGCACCGGCUAACUCCGUGCCAGCAGCCGCGGUAAUACGGAGGGUGCAAGCGUUGUCCGGAUUUAUUGGGUUUAAAGGGUGCGUAGGCGGUUUAUUAAGUCAGUGGUGAAAGACGGUCGCUCAACGAUUGCAGUGCCAUUGAUACUGGUAGACUUGAGUGAGAUUGAG
rnacentral:rRNA from 1 species